UACGGGGGGGGGCAAGCGUUGUUCGGAAUUACUGGGCGUAAAGGGCUCGUAGGCGGCCAACUAAGUCAGACGUGAAAUCCCUCGGCUUAACCGGGGAACUGCAUCUGAUACUGGAUGGCUUGAGUUCGGGAGAGGGAUGCGGAAUUCCAGGUGUAGCGGUGAAAUGCGUAGAUAUCGGAAGGAACAUCUGUGGCGAAGGCGGCUUCCUGGCUUCAGGACUGACGCCUGAGGUGCGAAAGCGUGGGUAGCGAACAGG
rnacentral:rRNA from 1 species